rnacentral:rRNA from 1 species
UGGGGAAUUUUGGACAAUGGGCGAAAGCCUGAUCCAGCAAUGCCGCGUGUGUGAAGAAGGCCUUCGGGUUGUAAAGCACUUUUGUCCGGAAAGAAAUCCUUGGCUCUAAUACAGUCGGGGGAUGACGGUACCGGAAGAAUAAGCACCGGCUAACUACGUGCCAGCAGCCGCGGUAAUACGUAGGGUGCAAGCGUUAAUCGGAAUUACUGGGCGUAAAGCGUGCGCAGGCGGUUUGCUAAGACCGAUGUGAAAUCCCCGGGCUCAACCUGGGAACUGCAUUGGUGACUGGCAGGCUAGAGUAUGGCAGAGGGGGGUAGAAUUCCACGUGUAGCAGUGAAAUGCGUAGAGAUGUGGAGGAAUACCGAUGGCGAAGGCAGCCCCCUGGGCCAAAUACUGACGCUCAUGCACGAAAGCGUGGGGGAGCAAACAGGAUUAGAUACCCUGGUAGUCCACGCCCUAAACGAUGUCAACUAGUUGUUGGGGAUUCAUUCCUUAGUAACGUAGCUAACGCGUGAAGUUGACCGCCUGGGGAGUACGGUCGCAAGAUUAAAACUCAAGGAAUUGACGGGGUCAUAGCUGUUUCCU